rnacentral:tRNA from 1 species
UUGGGGGAUCGUCUAACGGGCAGGACACGGGACUCUGGAUCCUGUAGUGGUGGUUCGAAUCCACCUCCCCCAGCCAG